rnacentral:rRNA from 2 species
CGCCUUUUGAAGUAUAAACAUAAAAGGUCCUGCCUGCCCAAUGACUUGUUUUAAUGGCCGCGGUAUAAUGACCGUGCAAAGGUAGCGUAAUCAUUUGUCUCCUAAAUAGGGACCAGUAUGAAUGGCAAAACGAAAGCCUCACUGUCUCUCUAACCCAGUCAAUGAAAUUGAUCUUCCCGUGCAGAAGCGGGAAUAAAAAUAUAAGACGAGAAGACCCUGUGGAGCUUUAAACUUAAGUUAACAAACAUAAUGCUUUAACACCCAGUUUUAGGUUGGGGCGACCAUGAGGUAUAACAUAACCCUCACGAUAAUAAACAGAAGGACACUUCAAAUAACUAAUAUAGCAUAUUGACCCAAUAAUUGAUCAACGAACCAAGUUACCCCAGGGAUAACAGCGCAAUCCGCUCAAAGAGUCCAUAUCGACGAGCAGGUUUACGACCUCGAUGUUGGAUCAGGACCCCCAAAUAACGCAACAGUUAUUAAAGGUUCGUUUGUUCAACGAUUAAAGUCCU